GUCCUCUGUAUGAACAGAGGUCCACACAGACUCGACGGUACCCCAGCUCCAUCUCCUCAUCACCCCAAAAGGACCUGACUCAGGCAAAGAAUGGCUUCAGCUCUGUGCAGGCCACGCAGUUACAGACCACGCAAUCUGUUGAAGGUGCUACAGGCGCUGCUGUGAAAUCUGA